rnacentral:tRNA from 1 species
UGUUUUGUGGCUCAGUUGGUUAAAGCGUCGAUCAAGCGAAUACGGAGUCGUGGGUUCGAAUCCCUCCAGAGCGG